GACGAACGCUGGCGGCGUGCUUAACACAUGCAAGUCGAGGGCGCUCCGGGGGCAACCCCGGGGCGACCGGCGAACGGGUGCGUAACACGUGAGCGACCUGCCCUGGAGUGGGGGAUAGCCGGCCCAACGGCCGGGUAAUACCGCAUGCGCUCGUGGCCCCGCAUGGGGCGAUGAGGAAAGCCGUGCGUGCACGGCGCUCGAGGAGGGGCUCGCGGCCUAUCAGCUAGUUGGCGGGGNGACGGCCCACCAAGGCGACGACGGGUAGCCGGCCUGAGAGGGCGACCGGCCACACUGGGACUGAGACACGGCCCAGACUCCUACGGGAGGCAGCAGUGGGGAAUAUUGCACAAUGGGCGGAAGCCUGAUGCAGCGACGCCGCGUGAGGGAUGACGGCCU
rnacentral:rRNA from 1 species